rnacentral:lncRNA from 1 species
UUAUUUCCUUAUCUUGAACGUUUCUUGAAUAUCGUAGAGAAAAUCCCGCUUUGUUUGUAACCACAACCCUCGCCAGGCUCACACCUGUUCCACUAACCACGACUCCGAUAUAGGAGUCUUCAUCACCCGCCGCCUCCGUAUGCCCACUAGACGAGUCGUGACCGCCACUGCUCGUCUGCUCCACCACCAUCAGUCUCUGUUCCACCGCGACAUUGCCUUCGUUCUGUCUCCCGUCAAGUCAUUUCCGUUACUCUUCACCACCAACCAUCUACUGGUGCUUAUGUCCGCCAUAUUCGGGAUCAUAUUGGCCCAUCCGCAUUUCAGCCCAUGCAUCUCCAUGCGGGGACUAUCACCACUUUCUGCGCCUGCGAAAACUGAUUGCAAUACUUGCCUGCUCUCUCAGUUGAGACUUUGAGGUGAUAAUUCGUUUUAUUGAAUUCAUUGCUUUUUAUUGAAUUGAAUUCAUUUCCAUGGGGGAGCAUUACUUUUUAUAUAGUUUGUUAUAUUUAAGGUAAUAAUUCUUGCCUGCUCUCUGACUUAAAUUAUCGAUUCCCAAUUUGCUUGAUUCAUGAUAUUGAAAAGUCGCGUCAUAAUUGAGCAAACGCCUAAAGUUUGUGAUUAUUUGAAAAAAUUAUCAAAUAAAACAAAACGCUGACAAAUAAUCCAAAAAGGUUGAAAGGCCAACCCAAGUCUUGUUUUUCUUUAGCUAUAUAUAGUUGCAGAAAUGAAUGUUUUUAAUGCUGUAAAUUAUAUCUGUUCAUUUGUCUAAUUUUUUCCUCAUACUGUAUUGGAAAAGACUAUUAAACAUAACUUUCUUUUUCAAUUAUGUGAGAGCAUUUCAUGCCUUUAUUUAUUUGACCAUAAAAGUAAACUAUGAUGGCCUAAUCUUGAUUCAAAAUUGAAUCUUGAUUUUCUUGGAAUUAAAGUUCAUAAAAUCAUGCCAUCAUCUAUAGAUUAGUAUGUUAGAUUUUCAGAUAAUUGAGGGAGACAUCCAAUGGUCACGUAGCUGCUUAGUAUUAGACACACUACAAUUAGGUUGACGCUACAUGUAUUGAUAUAAUUUAUUGGGAAGAUUGCAGUGGCGGUCGAAUGUAUAGAAAUUGUGCAACUAAGUACCCAACCUUUUUUGUUUCGCCAAAGAUGGGUCCCAAACGUUAUUAGUGUGUAUCACCCAUCUUUGGAAAGUCUGAGUGGAAAAUAAAGUUUGGCAAUUUGUUGGUUUUAUUCUCAUUCCUUGUUUAAUGCAUUCAAGGAAUGAAUCUCCAAUUCAGUGAUUUAGAUGUUGCAAUGAAUAUCUCCAAUUUAUUGAUAUAGCAAUGGAACAAAGGAACUUUAGUUCCAUUUAUGUGAGCAUUAUGGUCAUACCAUCCAUGAUUUAAUGGAAAAAAUACUGUUUUACCAUGAAAAAAAUAUUGUUUUACUGGACAACUGAAAUUUCUGGUUUAUCAUUCUUGAAAUUGAGACACCAAUUGACAAGAUUGUAGCAUUUAUUAAUGUUCAGUUAAGAAACCCAGCAUAGAAAUUGUUGGAUUUUAUGCGCAAUAUUAAAGAGAUGAAAAACGGAAAUCAACACAAGAAUUUUACGUGGUUCGGCGAUGUGCCUACGUCCACGAGAGCGAAGCGGAGAUUUCUUUUUCUGUUAUGAAAAAUAGGGUUACAACAUAUUAUUUAUACUAACCCUAAUCUAGGCCCAUAUAAAACUUUAAGGCCCGUACAGAAAAUACCCCUGUACCGUACCGCGGGGGCGUUGCCCCCGCACCCCCAACCCAUUCAGCGUCCCUAACAACCAAACAGUGAAUUAAACCCGCGCAAGGCCGAUGCUGUCGCUCCGCUCCGCGCCGGCAUUGGCCCAUUUGAUCCAGAGCCUGUGUUCCACUCUAUAUGAGCCACAUGUACAACAAUCUCCACCUUGGCGAAUAUUCACCCUUUAGGAGAAAAAACAUAACCUGAAAAAAUCACACCAUCUAGGACCAAUGGGUUGGGACACAUCUUCUCUAACAAUUAGAGAUGUUAAUCAAGUUCAAGCAAUGCUUGAACUUAUCCAUUGUGAUUGGCUUUGUCAUCAUGUCUGCUGCAUUUUCUGAGGUAUGCACCUUCUCUAACAACAGCUCUCCUGAAGUAACCAACUCUCUUAUCUUAUGAAAUCUCACGUCAAUGUGUUUGGUUCUUGCAUGAUAAAUCUGAUUCUUAGCUAAGAAGAUGGCACUCUGACUAUCACAGUACAGUUUCAUUCCAUCUUGCUUGAUUCCAAGUUCCCUGACAAGCCCUUUCAACCACAAUAAUUCCUUGGCUGCCUCAGUUGCCGCCAUGUAUUCUGCUUCAGUUGUAGAUAAUGCCACAAGUGAUUGCACCAUUGACCUCCAACAUAUGGGCCCACCUGCGAGUGUGAAAACAUAACCUGUAUGGGACCUUCUGUCAUCCAAGUCCCCUGCAUAAUCUGCAUCUACAUAUCCUUGAACUGAAAUAUCACCAUGUUGUCUCUCAAACAUGAUCCCACACUCCAUUGUACCUUUCAAGUACCUGAAAAUCCACUUUACAGCUCUCCAAUGCUCUCUACCAGGAUUAGCCAUAUACUUACUAACCACACUGACUGCAUGUGCUAAAUCUGGUCUGGUACACACCAUUGCAUACAUCAAACAUCCAACUGCACUGGCAUAAGGUACCUUUGACAUCUCUGCAACAUCUUCUUCACUCUUUGGGCACUGAUUAUUAGACAAUCUGAAGUGAUUUGCAAGUGGUGUGGCAACUGAUUUUGCAUCUGACAUGCUAAACCUCUCUAACACUUUCUUCAAAUAGUUUUUCUGAGACACCCAUAAUUUUCUGGCUUUCCUAUCUCUGUUGNUGAAAAAUAGGGUUACAACAUAUUAUUUAUACUAACCCUAAUCUAGGCCCAUAUAAAACUUUAAGGCCCGUACAGAAAAUACCCCUGUACCGUACCGCGGGGGCGUUGCCCCCGCACCCCCAACCCAUUCAGCGUCCCUAACAACCAGACAGUAAAUUAAACCCGCGCAAGGCCGAUGCCGUCUCUCCGCUCCUCUCACUCCGCUCCGCGCCGGCAUCAGCCCAUUUGAUCCAGGCCCUGUGUUCCACUCUAUAUGAGCCACAUGUACAACAGAAAUUAUAUUCAGUGCUUACCAUUAAAAGAGCAAAAUAAGAAAAUAUAAUAUUUGUCCUUUAACAAAGAUGGAUGGAAUUGAGAUAUCAUAUAAUUACCCAGAGAUGGACUGAUAUAUCUUCAAGUUCAGAUACACACUUUCACCCCACCCCCAACAUAAAGAAGAAAAUAAAAUUUAGGAAAAAGAAGAUAGGGAACAUAUGCAAAAUAACUGUUACUGUUACUGCAACACAAUUUCCACUAGUCUUAACUAUUUUUUGACUCCUAAAUGGUGUUAAGACAAAGGUAGCAAAAAGAGGAGUUUAGGUGGGCCCAUGUAUGUCCAGCUCGAGUUCUUACUGGAUUAAGUGGAAUUGGAGUUGGAGGAGGUGGAUGGCUGGUUGGGAUUAGGGAGGGAGCUUGGUGCUUGAUUGGUGGCAGCUCCUGGGUUGUUGACCACAGCAGUGUCAGCUUCCUGGUAGAGUUGCCAGCAUCGCUCGUUAUACUCAAGAAUCAGUGCCUGAUUCUCUUGCUCGAGAUUCCUCAGCAUCUUCAUCAGCAUUUCAUUUUCCUUUGUCGAUUCAUGGUUCUCUGACUUUAGCCUUGAGUUGCUCCUCUCCGUUUCUGUGUAACAAAAAUGUCAUAAAGUGCUUGCCCUUUUUUUUUGGAGAAGACUCUACAAGGAAAGAUCAAGCAAACACAAGAAAUGAAAAUUAAGAAUAAGUGUACAGCUUUAAACUAUCUCAUUUUGAAAAAAGAUCAUUAGUAAAAGAUUCAAAGGAGAGAAAAGAGAGAGAGAGAGAGAGAGAGAGAGAAAAGAAAAAAAAACAUGUCCAAACUCAAUUACAAAUAGGUUAUUCAUUGUCCAUUGCUAGAAGUAGAAGAAAUUAAGUGUGCAAAAAGUAAUCUAGAAUAUAGUGUACCAAAUGUAAUAAAAAUAAUUUAGAGAAUUAUAAGAAAGCUGUUGAAGAAGAGAAAAAUCCUUUCACAACAAUCCGUAUGCCCAAUAGUUAGAAUGUUAUAGAAUAAGUGAAGGUGUAUAAAAAUUGUAUUUGUAGAAUGUUUAAGAAAAUAGAGAGAGAGAGAGAGAGAGAGAGAGAGAGAGAGAGAGAGAGAGGCCUCUAUGAAGCUUUUUCAAGCAAGAUCACCUUCCCAAGUCUUUGUUGAAGGAGGGGGGUAUGGAUGAGAAAAGUUUUCCCUCUCCUUGGUUGUCGAAAAGAGGCUACAGUUCUUGUUUGAGAAUAGAAGUGAGGGACUUAGUAAAAAAUGAGGUCAAUAUAUGGCGCUAAAAGAUGGAGCAAGUGAAUGUGAAGAAAUGAAAAACACGCAGAAGGAGAAAAGGACAAAGAGAAGGUAGGUUGGGAGUGUGAUCUCUUGCUCUUUUUCUCUUGUCAAGAAAAACAUUCAUGUGUAGGUGUAGUUGCCGGCAUCUUUAGGAAUGGAUUUAAUGUUUCUUCAAGUUUGAAAUGGUUGUGAUGAGUUUUUUAAGGGGCGGGAUCAUGUGAGUGAUGGAGUUCAAAAAGACUGAAAGCACAUUAUGGGAAUUUCAGUUCAUUUACUCCUAGUGUGUGAAAUCAAGAAAAGGACACGUUGCUUACCUCAGUAAAAAUGAUGCAACGGCUAUGUCAAUUUCAAAGAUUUUUGACUUAAUGAUUUGAAUUGAUUCAAACCAACACAACUCACGAUCAACUUCACAUCCACAAUUGAAUCUGUAUCAUUUCGUACGGAGUUCAGCAUGUAUAAGCCCUUGCUUGAGCCCCAUUUUUUGAAAAAACUACAUUCUUAAAUAGUGUUUUGACCCAGCUUCAACCACGCAUUCUACGAUAAAAUAAUGCCCUUGGUUGAGCCUCAUUUUUCAACUAAAAUACAUUCUUUAACAGUGAUUUGAUAUCAUUUCAACCACACAUUUUUUAAUAAAAUAAUAUUAUACGCAAAUGAAAUUUUUUUCCUUAUUUUGUAACCACACAUUUUCCAUCAAUACACUAUUCAAAAAUUCAUUUUCUUCACAAAAAUGGGGCUCAAACAAGGGCAAUAUUGCAUGCAAAUCCAAAAUUUCUCCUUAUUUUUUAAUCACACAUUUCCCAUCAAUACAUUAUUCAAAGAUGCAUUUUUCGGAUAAAAAUGGGGCUCAUACAAAUUCUAAAUGUCAAAAUCUACUCCAUUCAUCCAAAUCUUGUGUAUUGAUCUUUUUUGUCUUCCUGUGGUUAAAUCUUUCUUUCUAUUACCUAUUUAUUUAUAAGGGUGUACAAUUUUUCUCCUUAAGCUUGGCAUUUGAUUUAUGCCCUGUUUUAUUGAAUGCCACAGUGUUUAAAUCUAGUGACAUUUAAAAAAGAAUCCAAUGUCAAUUAGAUAGAAAGAGUAAUUGAUGGCCAGCAAGUAAUUAAUGUCGAAAUUAGAGAUGCUUUGUAUAUUAGUUGUAAUUGGUAGAAAAUUGCUCAAUUUCCAUUCAUGUACAGUGAUAGCUAACUUUCAGCCAUGUAAUUUGCCUUACUAUUCUGGACGUAACUUCAUUAGAAACUGGUCUCGCUUGCUUUGCUCAUGUACAGUUUGAAUGGCAGCAAGAGAUUCAACUGCUACUUUAGUAUAGAUAAUAUCAGCAAAUUCACCCCAUAAGCUUUGAAACCCAGAGAAGUAACCUGGAUGUUGAGAUUGGCUUAAGUGUAAUUUGCAAUUUCAUACUCCAAUUGAAAUCGUCUGGCUGUAUUGUCUUGAUUGUAGACCUUUUUUAAAUACUCCCACAUCUCUUUAGCAGUCUUAUAAGGUCUUAGAUUUAGGACAAUUAUAGGAUCAACAGAUCCUAAAAUCCAUGUCAUAACCCUAGCAUCUUUCACUUUCCAUUGGCCUAAUUGAAUAUUCUCAGUAGGAGCUGGGUCACUUCCAUCAAUGUGACCCCAUAAUUCUUUUCCCAUAACGAAUAAUCGAAAAUGAAAUACCCAUGUAGAAUAAUUUUUACCCGUGAAUCGCACACCGAAAGUUUCAGACAUGUUGGUUGACAUGAUGUACGUAGUUAAUUAUACUAGCGAAAAAAGGACCCAAUAUAAAUUCAGCAAAACCAAAGUCCAGCAGAAAGCCCAAUAAUCCCAAUAUAAAAUUCUUAAGAAACUAAAUUGAAUAAGCAGCUACAUUGACAUCUAUACCUCCUAGUUAUUCAGAAGCAGCUAAACAUGAAUGCUAGGGGAAGGCUAUGGAUGAAGAACUUCGAGCACUUCAGGAUAAUCAUACUUGGGAUGUUGUUCCUUAUCCACCUAAUGUCAAGGCUAUUGGUUGUAAGUGGGUAUAUUCUAUUAAGCUUCGUUCUGAUGGAACUCUGGAUCGUUAUAAAGCUCGCCUAGUUGCUCUCGGAAAUAAGCAGGAAUAUGGGGUAGAUUAUGAUGAGACAUUCGCUCAAGUGGCAAAGAUGACUACAGUGUGCAUUGUUCUUUCUAUUGCAGCCUCUCAGGGGUGGCCUCUUCACCAAAUGGAUGUCAAAAAUGCUUUUCUUCAUGGUGAUUUCCAGGAAGAUAUUUACAUGACACCUCCUCCGGGUCUUUUUUCCUCUUCUUCACAAGUAUGUAAGCCAAAGAAGUCUCUUUAUGGGCUGAAACAAGCUCCUCGAUCAUGGUUUGAGAAGUUUCGAUCUAUUUUAUUACAGCUUUCUUUUAUCCAGAGUCAGUAUGACUCCUCCCUAUUUCUUUGUAAGACAUCUACAAAUAUUGUUUUUUUACUUGUGUAUGUGGAUGAUAUUGUUAUCACUGGCACGGAUUCUGGUUUGAUAACUCAACUCUAGCAGCAUCUACAGGCUUCCUUUCACAUGAAAGAUCUUGGUCUACCACUUACAUAUUUUUUGGGUUUGGAAGUACAAACUGAUUCCACAGGUAUAUUUUUGAACCAACACAAAUACAUCCAAGACUUGAUCACUUUGACUGGUCUUCAAGAUUCUUCUUCUGUCGAGACUCCUCUGGAAGUCGAUGUUAAAUAUCGUCGUGAAGAGGGUGAGCUCCUUCCUAAUCCGACUAUCUUUCGUCAAUUAGUUGGGAGCCUCAACUACUUGACCAUCACUAGGCCUGAUAUAUCAUUCGCAGUCCAGCAAGUCGGUCAGUUUAUGCAAACUACACGACAUCUUCAUCUUGUGGCAGUUCGUCACAUCAUUCGGUAUCUCCAAGGUACUCCUCAUCGUGGAUUGUUUUUCCCUUCUGGGUCUCCUAUUCGUCUUGUUGCAUUUAGUGAUGCAGAUUGGGUCGGUUACCCUGAUACUCCUCGUUCUGUUACGGGUUGGUGUAUGAUUCUUGGUAAUUCUUUGAUCUCCUGGAAGAGUAAAAAGCAGGCACAUGUGUCUAAAUCUUCAACUGAAUGUGAAUACCGUGCCAUGUACGCUGCCUAUUCUGAGAUUAUUUGGCUCCGUGGGCUUUUAGCUGAACUUGGCUUUCCUCAGUCUGAUCCUACACCCCUUCAUGCGGACAACACGAGUGCUAUUCAGAUUGCUGCAAAUCCAAUAUAUCAUGAGCGUACAAAGCAUAUCGAAGUAGAUUGUGACUCAAUUCGAGAGGCUUUUGACGCAAAUAUUAUUUCUCUUCCGCAUAUCUCUACUGAUCUACAGAUUGCCGACAUAUUCACCAAAGCCAUGACACGACAACGUCAUCUCUUUCUUGUGGGCAAAUUGAUGUCAAUUCUUGAUCACCCAACAUCAAUUUGAGGGGGAUGUCAAUUAGAUAGAAAGAGUAAUUGACGGCCAGCAAGUAAUUAACGCCAGAAUUAGAGAUGCUUUGUAUAGCUUUGUAUAUUAGUUGUAAUUGGUAGAAAAUUGCUCAGUUUCCAUUUAUGUGCAGUGAUAGUUAACAUUCGGCCAUGUAAUUUGCCUUAUUAUUCCUAUAUAUACAAAGGAACCCUCACAAUGAGGAUUAUCGAGUUAAAAAGGAGAAAUUAAAUACCUUGACAUCCAAUUGUACUAUUAAUUACUCAUUUAAAUGGGGAUAUGAGUUUUCCUUAUUCAUGAUCUCACUGUGACCUAGAGAAGUCAUGGCAUAAUAUUGGGUGAUGGAUUGACAAAGGAAAAUGACUAAGAAAAAGGAGAAGUCAUAUUAUUGCAGAAUGAGGACUUAAAAUUGUAGAUUUUAAAUGUGUAGCAUAACAUUAUUUGUGCAACUUAUGCGCUUUGCGUUGUCCACCCUUAGUUUAAAUUUAAUACAUUUGUGUUGAACCACAAAAAAUGAUAGGUUAAGGAUAAUAUGCGGAACAAAACUACAAAAAUAAUAUAUGGAUCAAAACUAGGAAAAUAAACAUUAUUUCACCAAGAAGUAAAAAUAUAAUUUUCGUGUAAAAGCUUUAAUAACAUGACUGUUGGAGUCAAAACACAUUGAAAAAGCAAUUGUAAUUGUGCAUUUCUUUUAAUCUAAAGUCGUUAUAUGACGAGUGCAAUCAAGCGGACAAACAUCGAGCUCCUGAAAUGUUAUAAACAUGCAAUGGUCCCCAAAUAUCAAUGUGAAUUAAGGCAAAUGAGAUUGAAGAUUUUUUCCCUACUAUAUUAAAAGGAGAAUGUGAAGUUAUUGUAGAAAUCAACAAUAAAUUCUUUCAUUUUAUCUCAUUGUAGCCAUUUUUUUAUUGUGGGAGUAAAAACGACGUCAUUUGUCUUCAAUUAUUUAUAUAUUUUUACACGCAACUUCACUGCAACCAUCACUUCUACUGCAAUAUUUCUCAAUUUUUACAAACUAUUUCACCUCAUCCAAUUCAACUGAUAAAGAAAAGAAAUUGAACGAUUUAACAAAUUAAACAACAAAAAAAUUACAGGCAAAAAUAAAAAGAAACAAAAAAAGAAUUUUUUUAAAAAAUUAUUUACAAUAUGAACAAAACAAAAUGAAACAAAAAAAAAAAAAAAAAUUUUUUUAAAAAAUUAUUUAAAAUAUAAAAAAAAAAAAAAGAAAAAAAAAAAAAAAAAAAAUAGUGUGGGAUGGAGAGAAAUCUCGCCAUGGUUUUGGAGAGAAGUCUCUCCGUGCACGAAGACUUUACACUUCAUCAAUAAUUUUUUUUUUUUUUGGGGAAUAGGGAGACAGUUCUUUUCAUCAAAAAUUUGUCCAUUCUUUUAACUAAACAAUAUUUAUAUAUUCUUUAUUUAAUUUUCGUAACUUUAUUUUAUUUUUUUUAUUAUAUAUAUUUUUAAAAUUGUUUUAAAAUUUCUUUUCUUCUUCAUAUUAUAAAUAUUUUUUUUGAUUUAAAAUUCUUUUUGUUUUACGAUAAAACGCAUUUUUUUUAAUUUUAAUUAAAUAAUAUUUAAUUUUAAUUUUAUUUAUUUCAAUUUAAUUCAAAAACUUUAUAACAACUUUUUUUGUUUCUUUUUAUCUUUGCCUGAAUUUUUUUUUUCUGCAAUUCUUUUUUUUUUUUUUUGUUCUCUAAUUUGUUAAAUCAUUUAGUUUGUAACUAUCAUUUUACACCAACACGAAUAAAAAACUAAAUGGUUUAACAAAUUAAAGAACAAAAAAAUUAUAGGCCAAAAAAAGUUAUUAUAAAGUCUUUUAAUUGCAAUGAACCAAAUGAUCGGACGAAUACUUCGAAUCUAUAACAAGUUUUGAAAAAUCUAUUUGACACUAAUAAAAAUACAAUAAAUAUAAAGCUCAUGCAAAGCAUGUGACGACUAGUAUUACCUAAUGAAAUGAAACAUGAUGAUGCUUGGAAAAUUCACAAACGUCACAAUGAAAUGUGUUUACAUCAAUGUUUUUGAAUAACAAAGGAAACAUGAACCUAAGUGAUUUAAAUGAAGGAUGACCAACACGAAAAUGGUAAGCCAAAAUUGGUCUUUACUUGUGGAAAAUGACUUGGAUAAAUAUAAAAAAGGUAGUUGGUUACCAUUGCUCACAUUGCCACCACUUGUAUAGAGGGAGUAGAGUCCGCCUUUUUCCUUAGCAUGCCUAGUCAUCCUUUCUAUAACCCUGUAAAACACGAUGAGUAGGGAAAAAUAACAUUGCAGUUAAUUUUAUAGCAAGUUGAUAUAUAGACACAAGGUUGGUGGAAAGAUGAGGUGCAUGUAAAACAUUUUUAAGACCCCAAAGAUGAAUUUAUGUUGAUUAUUCUUUGCUUGCAAUAGUGGCUAAUGACCCGUCUGCAAUGGAUUCUUGCGUAUUGCUAGGAUAUAGAAGUUUUGUGAGGAAUGUAUUAUACGAUUUGUAGCUCCCGAGUAAAUGAUCGAAGGACGUGAAAAUGAUAUAUGUGAAGCACAUAGUGCAUGAGAGAAGAGAAUACCUGAUGUAUUCGUAGGCUGCUCUUAACAAACUCAAAAAUUUCUUUAGCUUUUCAAUCUCUUAUUUACUAAAUUUUGCAAGUUUGACACUACAUUAUUAGCACUCGCGCAGAAGCGUUUGUGAAAUUCUUGUAAGAAGAAUUAUGUAAUAAAUAAGAAUGAUAUUGAAAUAAUCUUGCUUUGUGUAUAGUGAAUAAUAAUUGAUGUUCCAAAAAAGUGUACAAUACCUUUGCAUUUAUAGGCAAAAUUAUUCCCCAAUCUUAUUAAUAUAAGGAAACUAAAAUAAUUAAACUAAAUUUUAAAAGGAAAUAAACUCAAAUUCAAAUCUAAAGAAAAUUAGAAAUCUUAUUCUAAACAAGGAAGAAGAUAACAUAUAUUGUUGCCACAUAGCAAGCGAACUUGGGUUUGCACUUCACAUCGUUUUGCCCAAGUGGUAGUUUUGGCCCAACCCCCUUGAGGAGGCCGAAUCCUUAUGGAGAGACCAAACUCAUUUGCCGAAUCCAACCCUAUAUAGAAGACCUAACCCUCAUGGAUGAGGCAGGGCUGGUAGGGGCUCUACAAAGGGUCAUCCAUACAAAAUCGUUAAUGAAUUAUUGAUGUGACAACUCACUGAAACCUUUGAUGCUCGGACUAUUUGAGAUGGUCGAAGUACCCAUGUCAGACAUGACACGACAUGAGUAUGGGUAUAAGAUAUGUGUUGAAUCUUUCAAGUUUCAAUCGGACACUUCACCAUUUUUGCUUCUUCUUUCUUUGUUCUUUCCCUUUUCUUCUUUUUUUCCCUUUUCCUCUCUUUGUAUUGAUGGUUUAGGGUUCUAUUUGUGUAAAAUAAAAAUGGGUUCCAUAUAGUGCUCCAUUAAGUCCAAAUUGCAAUCAAGUCCUUCAUUUCUAUUUUAUAUGAUAUUUAAUAAAUAACUUUCCAUAAUUGAAAACUAAACUUCAAAAUUCUAUUUUAUUCCCCUUAACCCCUAAUUUAAUACUUAUUUCUUUCUUUGUAAAUAAUUGAUUUUGGUCUAUUCAAAAUGACAUCUUGGGAUGGUAAAAAAAAUAAAACUUGAAAGACGUACCCACGUACUCGUAUCCGAAAUUUGGACUCUUUUAGCCAUAUCACUGUAUCCUACAUUUUAGAAAAAUAAAAUAUUCAAUACUUGAAUACAUACCCGAUACCCAUACUCGAUUCGAGCAUAAUAGACUGCAACAACCACCCAACCCACUCAACAGGUGAAGUCUAAUUUCUAUAUGUCAUGUCUAGGGCUACAAAAGGUCAUAACAUUAAAUGUGCCUGAGCCUAAAAUUGACAAUUGAUGCGUAUGACAAGUUGCCUCACCCACUAGGAUGAGACCACGUGUCUCUUCAUUCAACGAUUUUUACUCAUCCCGUUUUACCAUGAAAGCUCAUACAUUGUGUCAUUUAAAGGUAACAUAAGUUUAGACUCUCAAACUAUAAUUUUGCUCUAUAUAUUUACUCAUACAUUCUCCCAAAGUUGAACCCCUUUUUCACAAGUGGCUCAUCUAAAGUACAUCCCAUAUUCAAAUACCUAUUUCAUCAACUAAUUUGACUGUCGGAAUGCACGUGGCCGCCUCCCCCACGACCGAAGUAGGUCAUGUAUAGCUAACGAUUUGUCCUAGUGUACAGGAGCAUGCUUACAUGAAAGUGAUAGACUUUUGGAGGAGGUCAACAUAUUACAUACAACUAGAAAUCUUAAAUAUCAUAUUAUAAAUAUCUAACUUUUUUCCUAUUUAUAAUAGGAUUGUCCUACGUUAGUCACUAUGUCCUUGGGUUGAACAUAUUAAGUCACCAUAUCUUUAUUUUUCCAUAACUAGGGCUGUACUAUCCGUGGGUUGACUCUCAAGCAUAAUACUGUCCUUCCUCCUUUGGCUUGAAUAAUGGAGACUACUCAUUAAUGGAUGGUAGAGUUUCUCCACAAGUUGCAGCAACCUUGAUGGAAAUCUCAUAAACAUCAGAGAUGUUGGAAUUAAAAAGAGGAUGUAUAAAUACCUCAGCAAUGAAGGCUGGAAACUUUAGCAAGUAUGUAUCAUUUAAUUAUUAUCUUCAAUGAGCUUCCUCACAUGUAGGCUGAAUAUAUUUUUUUCCCCCAUCAAAGCCUAACACGUGGACAAUUCAUUUAAUUGGGUGGUGAGACUUGAACUUGGGAACUUUGCUGCUUUGAUACCAUGUGAAGAAAAAUUGUAUUAACAUACUAAUCCAAUCAGUAGUGCAAACCUAAUUUAUAAUCUAGAAUUACAGGGAAAGUCAAAGAGAAAUUAAAAUGUCAAUCCUUAAUUAAUCAGGGGAUUACUGCUAGUAACUUUUAAACAGUAGGCAUUAUACCUAUCUCACAUAAAUACACAAUUUAUAUACAGCUAUACACAAAUCUAAGAUAUGAAUAUCAAAUAUUUCCAGCACAGCCUAUUGUCAGCUUGCAAAGUCAUUCUCAACCAUCUUAUGAGAAAAUUUGUCCCCGAGUAUGUAUUCUGGUGAUGGAUAAAAUUUAUUUUCUAGUAAUGUAAGAUCUUUGUCACUGCAUAUUCGUUGUUCUGUUUAUGUCUCUAGCUCCUAUACACCAUCGACUUUUGCUUGUAUGCAUUAGCCUAGACAAGAAUUCUUCCAACGCCAAUUUUUUUGUUAUUUUCUUUUUAUUUUUUCUGCUUUUGUUUCUUCAGCUGUGAGAAGUUAGAUAGUUAUUUUCACCGUAUAGACCGGAAAUUACAGUAUGGUCAAAGGGAGAUUGUGUUGACGAAGUAUGAAGUUAUUUGUAAUCUCCUCCAACUUUACCUUGAGUUUCCUGUGCUUGAAGACUUGAAGUGAGAGUCACAAUCUCAUGUUUCCCAACAAACAUGCCAUGCAUGUUCCAUAAUUGUUGGUAAAUAAUAGUAAAGAAACUAUGAGCAUGGAAAAUAAAGGAAAAAGAUGAAGUAGCAAGUUUAUUGCAUGGCUUUUGGAACAGUAUAUAAGCUGAGAAGUUGAUCGUAAUAUAAAGGCUUGAGAUAUUCUAUUUGUUGUGUAGGAUCCUUUUUUUUUAAUCAUUAUUACUUUGAUUAGUAUUAUUGUAUCUUAACAUUUCUAAUUGAAGGAUGUCCUAUUGCUCAACUAAUAGCUCAUAUAUUUUGUAACUUUGUGGCUCGCCUGUGAUAUUCGUUCUGAGACCUGGUAUGCGAAUUGUUCUUUUGGGUUGUUAAUCAGCUUUUCAAGAACAAUCUGCCACCCCGCCACAAAAAGGAGGGGGAAAAAAAGGCUCUAUAGCAAGCCAAAAAAUAAAAAAUAAAAAUUGCUGACCGAAGUCUUGUUGAUGCUUGCUAGAUUAGAAUCUAUUUAUCAAAAUGAAUGUGUUUAUUAUUCUGCCCUUUUGUCUAAGCUAUAAUAGGUAGGUGCUAAUACAUUUUGAGACAAGAAACAUAAAGUAUAUGUAUACGAAAUAUGCAGCAGCUAUCUUAAGAUUCUUAAUUGUCCCAUAUUUGUUUGGCUACAAUACAUUCAAGAAAUAUGUGAAAGAUGACUGGCAAAAGAGUGGAGGAGUUGAGUGAGGGGUGCCUUUGAGGUAGAUACAUCACAGAAAGUGUUUGAUUUCUCUCUCAUUUCCCCUAUUGACUUGGCAAGGCUUUUCAGUAAGUUCUAUCCUAUGACCAAUCUAGUUUUAACUCUGAGGAGUAGCUCAGUGGUCAGACCUUAGAUUUGCUCUCUAAUGAUCACUAGUUCAAGUCUUCACAGAGCCACUGAGAUGAGUUGGCUGUAAACUUCAGGGCAACAUGGAAUUAGUCGAGGUAUGCGUAAUUUGACUCGGACACCUACGAUUAUUAAAAAAAUAAAAACAAAAUUCUAGUUUGGAAGCUUAAGCCUUUAGAGAGGGAAAACAUUUAUUUAUUUAAAUUAGCUAUCAACACGGUCCUUCAUCUGCACGUUGGACUUGUUCUUUUAUUAAAUGCAUGGUGUGUUCACAAUUUUGAUAAAUGGGUGGUGUUGGGACUUGAAACUCAAAACUUCAAGCUGUUCUGAUAUAGUUGUGAAAAGCUCUAAGCUGUCAAAUAAUUAUUUAAUUUUAGUUGUCAACAUGUCAACGUUAGUACUGCAAACAUAAAGGGCAUUAUCGUUUGAAUGGUUUUGUUUUACCUGCGCUCUUCUAAGACAAAAAAUUCUUUAUAGUCCUGUCUUAUUUCUGUCUCUAAUAUAUCUGUCCUUAACCUCUGAUUUCUGUUACUCGUGCUAGUUUUUUUUGUAUUAUAUUUUCGUGUGCUUUUUUUUUUUUUUUAAUUUUCUGAUCCCUCUCUUGACUUCAGGAACAGACAGGCAUCUACAGUUGGGAUGCUAGGUUUUUUGGGUGUUAUGGUUGAUUUCCCAAGUUUGAUUGACUUAAAAAGCAACUUUUAAGCUCAACUAUAUGUUCGGCAUCUUUACAAUUGUAGAGCUGAUAAUUGCAAAUGCUAGCAUGGCUAUUGUAAUUAGAGGCACCCCGUAAUCAAUAGUGGAACAGAAAUGUUGGGGGGGGGGGGGGGUGAAUACUUUUCAAUUUCUCUUCUUUUCCUUCAACCAUUAUUGUUUAAAAAAAUGAGUUUUUAUUAGUGAGUUUUAGGAGAAUGAGUGGUUAAAAAAUAGGAUACGUGUAGAAUAUUUUGUCGUAUGAAUAUGUGGUUAAAAAGAUCAUGUAACAAAUCAUCAAUUAGAUUAUUGUCAAACAAAGUUUUGCUAUUGCUAGAGUUGAUAUGAUUGGAAUCAGAG